rnacentral:rRNA from 2 species
GAACGGAUAAGGAGCUUGCUCCUUUGAAGUUAGCGGCGGACGGGUGAGUAACACGUGGGUAACCUACCUAUAAGACUGGAAUAACUUCGGGAAACCGGAGCUAAUGCCGGAUAACAUAUAGAACCGCAUGGUUCUAUAGUGAAAGAUGGUUUUGCUAUCACUUAUAGAUGGACCCGCGCUGUAUUAGCUAGUUGGUAAGGUAAUGGCUUACCAAGGCGACGAUACAUAGCCGACCUGAGAGGGUGAUCGGCCACACUGGAACUGAGACACGGUCCAGACUCCUACGGGAGGCAGCAGUAGGGAAUCUUCCGCAAUGGGCGAAAGCCUGACGGAGCAACGCCGCGUGAGUGAUGAAGGUUUUCGGAUCGUAAAACUCUGUUAUUAGGGAAGAACAAAUGCGUAAGUAACUGUGCGCAUCUUGACGGUACCUAAUCAGAAAGCCACGGCUAACUACGUGC